UACGAAGGGGGCUAGCGUUGUUCGGAUUUACUGGGCGUAAAGCGCACGUAGGCGGAUUGUUAAGUCAGGGGUGAAAUCCCGGAGCUCAACUCCGGAACUGCCUUUGAUACUGGCAAUCUAGAGUCCGGAAGAGGUGAGUGGAACUCCUAGUGUAGAGGUGGAGUUCGUAGAUAUUAGGAAGAACACCAGUGGCGAAGGCGGCUCACUGGUCCGGUACUGACGCUGAGGUGCGAAAGCGUGGGGAGCAAACAGG
rnacentral:rRNA from 1 species